UACGGAGGGUGCAAGCGUUGUCCGGAAUCACUGGGCGUAAAGGGCGCGUAGGCGGCUCGGUAAGUAGGGGGUGAAAUCCUGCGGCUCAACCGCAGGGCUGCCUUCUAAACUGUCGAGCUCGAGCACGGUAGAGGCAGAUGGAAUUCCCGGUGGUAGCGGUGGAAUGCGUAGAGAUCGGGAAGAACAUCAGUGGCGAAGGCGGUCUGCUGGGCCG
rnacentral:rRNA from 1 species